ensembl:ncRNA W08F4.19 ncRNA
CUGCUAGACUACAAACUACAAAAUUUGAUUUGGCAGACCCAAUUUAUUGGUAUUCUAAAUGGGUCUGCUAGACUACAAACUACAAAAUUUGAUCUGGCAGACCCAACUUGUUGGUAUUCUAAAUGGGUCUUCUAGACUACAAACUACAAA